CCUAUAGCAUAGCGGUUAAUGCAAUCGACUCAUAAUCGAGAGAUCCUUGGUUCAAAUCCAAGUGG
rnacentral:tRNA from 1 species